rnacentral:lncRNA from 1 species
GUAACAAACACGCUGAUAAACUACAUCCUCAAACAAUCUGCCGGACGGAGCGCUGCAAAGGCCGGCCCACCCACGCCGGCUGCCACAGCCGCACUCGGUGGGUCAGGGCUCUGCGCCCGCACCUCGGCGGGCCGCUGGAGGCCGGGGGCACGCACAGAAGCCCCCGAACUCGGGGUGAGCUCCCGCUGCGGUGCCCUGCUGCGGCUGGGGCAGGCCUCACACGGGACGUUCGGGCCCCUGGAGGCCAGGCCCGGUGCCCGUCGCCUCCCGCCCCACCGGCCCGCUGAGGGGGCUCGGGCCGGGAAGGACGAGGCCUACUCCCGGGCCGGGCCUCGGCCUCAGCGCCUCGCGGCCCCCUCCCCGUUGCCAGGGCGGUUGCCGGGGCGCCAUGUCGGGGAGCGCGGCGACCCGGAAGCGGUGCCGGCAGCGGGGUUUCUCUUCCUGCGCGGCGGGGCCGGGCCGGCCGGGUUAGGAGGCAGGAAAUGGCGGCGGUGCUGCAGCAGCAGCUGCCGGGCCCUCCCGCUCCGCAGUGCCGGGCCCAGGCCGCCUAGAGCCGCCGCGACAGCGCCGGGCCCGGGCCGCAGCCACGCCGGGCCGGACUCCGAGCACUUUACAUACAUGAGAGAAUUGGAAGCUAAAGCUACCAAAGAAGUCGAAAGAAAACUAAGCAGGGAUUUAGUGCAAGAAGAGGAAGAACAGUUGAUGGAAGAAAGGAAAAAGAGAAAAGAAGACAAGAAGAAGAAGGAAGCUGCUCAAAAAAAGGUAUGUUGAGCAUUAAGAAAGUGCUUGUGGAUUACUUCUUUUCAUCACUGGUGAAUAUUGUUAUAUCCGUUGUUAUACAAAAGUGUUUUCUUUUUAAUUUCAUUUUUUAUGCUUUAUAUCUACUGUCAGUUAUGCAAUGGUGACUGACGUAUAGAGCCUCUAACUUGGCUUUGUGUACAGGUUCCUUAGAGAUUAAAUAAUCUCCUGAGAUGACCGUUCUUUUUCCUGAUUGCCAGUUAAGUCCACUUGAAGUUUGAAAACUUCCUCAGUAUCAGUUCUCCCUGUUAGCCUAAACAAAGGUGUUCGUUGUGCACCUGUAGAAAAUUCGGCAUGUCUAAUCUUAUGACAAAUCUAAGUAAAAUUGUACAGAAAGGAUCCUUCUGGAAAAGGUGAGGUGUUUCCUCCUAUUUCAGAAUGAGGUUCCGUAAUCUUUUCAGCAGCUGACAACAACGCUGCAUAAUAAUUUUUGGACCUCAAUUGUAAAUUUGUAACUCGUUCUCUUGGAAUUCUUGUGACCAGGCACAGAGUACGGAAUUUAAAUGAAAAUUUUUAAUGAGAAAGGCGUUGGUUUACUUGUAGAAUUUAAGUCUUUCAAAUAAGCGGUUCUUUGGGGUUCUCUUCUCCCCAAGUUUCGUAUUUUCAGGAGUUGGAAAGGCAUGUGUGAGUGUAUUUUUGGAAGAAGUAAAAGCAUAAAUAUAUUUUGAAAGUGAAGACACCAAACAUUUACCUGAAAAUGAAUGUUUUGCUUUUGCUUUCUCCUUCCAUAUAGCACAUGAUGGCCUGUUAUUAAGCUACAUGUCUUUGUUUAUUUGCUGUAUUCUCCGAGUAACAGAAUAUCAAGUGCUUGGGCUCGAUACAUCAGAAAUUUUAAGAGGCUCCUAUGGAAGAAGCAGUAGGUUGCCACAAGGAUGCUCAUGUGCAUUCCUGGAUAAGCCUAAACUUGAUGUAGAUUAAGAAAAUAUGUCUCCAAAAAACCACAGCAACAAACAACUGCCAGUUGAUUUAGAUG